GCCGUCAUAUCGAUUUAAAACACCGCUUCUCGUACGAUCACCGAAGGUAAGCAAUGUCGAGUUUGGUCAGUACCUAUAUGGGUGACCGCUGUGGAAUACCAGGUGCUGUAAG